UCUCUCCGUUUUUAAUUUGAACUAUUACCAAACGCCGCACCGCCAGUCACCACUCACCACCUUCGCUCUCGCCUCUCUCUCGCGCUCUCUCCCUCUCUCUAGAUUGCACUAGGGUUUACGACGAUUGACGGCGUCGUAUUCGGAAUCCCAGGUCGAAUUCCUGAUCCCCAGUCCCGAUCUAUCUCCACUGCGCCUGCCUCAUGCGAUCUCGCCCUGAACUCGGCGGUCUCUUCGGUCGGAUGUAGAUCGACGAUUUUAAGUAAUCGGAAUGCUCGGUUGAUGAUUCUCUAUUCUUGUUAUUUCUCUGUCUCAUCGCUUUCUGGAUUUUUGAGUUUUGGAUCAUGGUUGAAGAUUCUCUGGACUCUGGGCGAUCCACGCUUUUUUUUUUCCAGAUCAGAAUCCAUGAAGAAUCUUCGCCGCUUUAUAUUUUCGAUGUAUAAGCUACAUUGGGAGAGGGGAACUAGAGUGCUUCGGUGCUGAGAGAUAAAACAGCUUUGAUUUGUGGCGUCUAAGCGGCUGGAUCGGCCAUCCUGAGUAUUUUUAAAUAUGAUGGUGGAUUCUGCUACAGCUGCGGGUCCUGGAGCUACAUCCAAUGUUUCACCUGAAAAGGAUGCUUCAGGAACUGGCAAUUAUGCCACUGGAGGAUGGAAAAGUGAGGAUGGAAGUUUCAGUUGUGGGUACUCUAGCUUCAGGGGGAAAAGAGCAAGCAUGGAGGACUUCUGUGAUUUGAAAUCAUCAACAAUUGAUGGGCAAACAAUUGGCCUUUUUGGAAUAUUUGAUGGACAUGGUGGUUCACGAGCUGCAGAGUACUUGAAGGAACACUUGUUUGACAACCUAAUGAAGCACUCAAAAUUCAUGACUGACACGAAGCUUGCAAUAAGUGAAACAUACAAGAAAACAGAUACAGAUUUCUUAGAUGUGGAAAGCAACUCUUCCAGAGAUGAUGGUUCUACAGCUUCAACAGCUAUCUUGAUUGGCAAGCACUUAUAUGUAGCGAAUGUUGGUGAUUCACGUACUGUGAUAUCAAGGGCUGGAAAAGCAAUCCCCCUUUCUGAGGAUCACAAGCCAAACAGAAGUGACGAGCGCAAGAGAAUUGAGGAUGCUGGAGGAUUUGUCAUUUGGGCUGGCACUUGGAGGGUUGGAGGUGUAUUGGCAAUGUCAAGAGCAUUUGGCAACCGCCUUCUAAAACAGUUUGUUGUCGCAGAACCUGAGAUUCAGGAACAAGUGGUGGAUGGAGAAUCAGAAUAUCUAGUUUUGGCCAGUGAUGGUCUUUGGGAUGUGGUGACCAAUGAGGAUGCUGUUGCAAUUAUGAAAGUUGAAGAAGAAGCUGACAAUGCAACAAGGAAGUUAGCAGAGACUGCCUUCUUCCGUGGCAGUGCGGACAACAUAACAUGCAUCGUAGUUAGAUUCAAUCACGAUAAACAGGGUGUAGAUUCUCCUCUUCCUUCCACAGCUGCUCAAGCUUGAUAGAUGUCUGAAUUCCACGCAGAAGCAUUCUCCUCUUCCUUCCACAGCUGCUCAAGCUUGAUAGAUGUCUGAAUUCCACGCAGAAGCUACUCAAGUAAUUUGAUCAAGUUCUUAGUUCCAUUGCAUUGGAGUGGGGAAGCUCCUCCAGAUUGCAAUUUAAGCAGAACAAGUCCCAAAUGAAACUUGUUGAGAAGGCCAAAGCUCAUCCAGAUCAAGCUAAAGAAUACAAGCCCUCAACCUGUGCAAUUUGGGAUGCGGUUGAUGAACACAUCUAGAAACAUCAAUAGGAAGAAAGUUUCAGGAAACAAAGGAUUAAGUCCCGGCCUGUCAAUUGUUUUCAGCUGUCGGUCGAGUCUGAUAACAGAUGGUAAUCGAGCAAAUUCUUGCACAAGGCUAAAACAAAGACCAAAUUUAACUUGAAAGGAUUGGCAUUGGCACUAGGAUUCGACAUUCAAAUCUUAACAGGUACUGAAGAUCAUGCACCGAGUAGGACUGCUCCUAUGCUCAAAGGAUACAUGAGAGACUACAUCAGAUGAGGUUUACAAGCAUGUUUUUUUCUUCUUCACUUCUCAUAGGCAGUGCUGAAAUAGCAGCUUGUAACAUUCAUGCACAAGAUCUGCAAAACCUUGUUGUUCGAUUGGCUGACACAGCGUGGAGCCUUAAACUGGCUCAAGACGCCCCCGAGUCCAACAUAAUGGUCUAAGAUCAUAUUGAAUGUUCCUUUCUGCACAAUGCGAAGUUCUAGAGGUCCAAUAGCACUGACUUUUCUGGAGCUAACAUAGCCAGCAUCAACAAAAGAUAGGUCCAAGCAAUUGCAGCAGCUUUGGAGAAUCUCAUCGCUCGAAUCGGAGCUUAGCUCCCAAAAGAUCACAUAGUGUCCUGGGUCUGUCGAAGUGUCAACAUGGCUAGUGAAAUCUACAACCUCGAUUUUUUCCUCAGCCAAAAGCUUGGCUGCUUCUUCAACUGACAACUGCAGGUCUUUCUCAGUGUUCUUAUCUAUGUUGAUGCUCAGCAUGAGGCUUCUCCUGCAUAUGAACCGAAGCUCAGGCGCACAGUUGUGAAAGCCAGUUACUUUUACCACAUCUCCCAAUCUAUACCGAUACAAACCUGCAGUAGAAUGCACAUCGAUCAGUUAUGUGUAUAAAAAACUUGGGCAUAUGACAAGAAAUGUGUGAAGGAACUAGUAAGCUUCAAUAGCAAGGACUCAAUGUGAUUUUGAAGAACAAAUAUCAAAGUGGGAAGUUGAAUUAUGUAACAAAGAAGUGAAGUCGUCUUUCCCAUCACGAUGUUGUUAGCUGACUUCGCGAGAACAGUUAAUGGCGAUAUGUUUUUAUGCA